AGUAACACGUGGGUAACCUACCCUGAUGAUUGGGACAACCCGAGGAAACUCGGGCUAAUGCCAAAUGUGUCCUCCGGCCUUAAGACUGGAGGGGAAAGGAAGCUUCGGCCUCCGCAUCGGGAUGGGCCCGCGGCCCAUUAGCUUGUUGGUGAGGUAACGGCUCACCAAGGCGACGAUGGGUAGCUGGUCUGAGAGGACGAUCAGCCACACUGGGACUGAGACACGGGCCAG
rnacentral:rRNA from 1 species